rnacentral:rRNA from 1 species
CCUACGGGUGGCAGCAGUGGGGAAUAUUGCACAAUGGGGGAAACCCUGAUGCAGCGACGCCGCGUGAGUGAAGAAGUAUCUCGGUACGUAAAGCUCUAUCAGCAGGAAAGAAAAUGACGGUACCUGACUAAGAAGCCCCGGCUAACUACGUGCCAGCAGCCGCGGUAAUACGUAGGGGGCAAGCGUUAUCCGGAUUUACUGGGUGUAAAGGGAGCGUAGACGGCGCUGCAAGUCCGGAGUGAAAGCCCAUGGCUUAACCAUGGUACUGCUAUGGAAACUGUAGAGCUUGAGUGCGGGAGGGGCAGGCGGAAUUCCUAGUGUAGCGGUGAAAUGCGUAGAUAUCUGGAGGAACAUCAGUGGCGAAGGCGACUAUCUGGCACAUAACUGACGCUGAGGAGCGAAAGCGUGGGUAGCAAACAGGAUUAGAUACCCGAGUAGUC